GGAACCGAAUCGGAGACUGCCGAACGUUCGGGAGGUGAACGUGGAGGUAUGCGAACCAGCAAACUUGCGGAAACUGCCGAACGUUCGGGAGGCGAACAUGAAGGUAGGCGAACUGGUGAAUGGGAGACAACUGCCGAACGUUUGGGAGCCGAACGUGGAGGUACUGUUACUGCCGACCUUUCGGUUCCCGAACGGGGAGGUGAAAGAACUGCCGAACAUUCGGGAGUUGAACGGGGAGGUAGCCAUACUGCCGGCUGUUCGGCUGCCGAACGGGGAGGCAACAAAACUGCCGAACAUUCGGUUUUCGUGUCUUCUUUUGCAGGGAAUGAAGGAGAAGCGGCCGCAGGUGAUAGGAGUCCUGGAAAGGGGCCUGGACAAGCACGGGCCAGUGGAAGAAGGAUGAGCAGUACAGCAGGCUUGGCAGCAGGUCACGGGAACUCUGGAAGCGCUGUUGGAGGAACAGGGACAACGGCUAUACACCGUCCGGGUGAGUCGACCUCUGACGCCAAUGCCCCGCCAAUGGCUGGGCCACGGGUUACCCCGGGGGUGGGCCCUGGUGUUGGCUUGGCUAGUGACGGCAGGGGGGAAAGAGGCAGACAGGGGACGGCUAAGGCACGGAGCGG